UGCCAGCAGCCGCGGUAAAACCAGCACCUCAAGUGGUCAGGAGGAUUAUUGGGCCUAAAGCAUCCGUAGCCUGUUCUAUAAGUUUGCGGUUAAAUCUAUACGCUCAACGUAUAGGCUGCCGUAAAUACUGUAGAACUAGGGAGUGGGAGAGGUAGACGGUACUCGAUAGGAAGGGGUAAAAUCCUUUGAUCUAUUGAUGACCACCUGUGGCGAAGGCGGUCUACCAGAACACGUUCGACGGUGAGGGAUGAAAGCUGGGGAGCAAACCGGAUUAGAUA
rnacentral:rRNA from 1 species